GACGAACGCUGGCGGCGUGCUUAACACAUGCAAGUCGAACGGAAAUGCCCUGCUUUUGUGGGGUGCGCGAGUGGCGAACGGGUGAGUAACACGUGAGUAACCUGCCCUUGACUUUGGGAUAACUUCAGGAAACUGGGGCUAAUACCGGGUAGGAGCUCCUGCUGCAUGGUGGGGGUUGGAAAGUUUCGGCGGUUGGGGAUGGACUCGCGGCUUGUCAGCUUGUUGGUGGGGUAGUGGCUUACCAAGGCUUUGACGGGUAGCCGGCCUGAGAGGGUGACCGGCCACAUUGGGACUGAGAUGCGGCCCAGACUCCUACGGGAGGCAGGAGUGGGGAAUAGUGCACAAUGGGCGGAAGCCUGGUGCAGCAACGCCGCGUGCGGGAUGACGGCCUUCGGGUUGUAAAGCGCUUUCGCCUGUGACGAAGCGUGAGUGACGGUAAUGGGUAAAGAAGCACCGGCUAACUACGUG
rnacentral:rRNA from 1 species